rnacentral:tRNA from 1 species
GCCCUGGUGCUGGAAUUGGUAGACAGGCUAGCUUUAGGAGCUAGUGUCGGUGACGGCGUGAGAGUUCGAUUCUCUCCCAGGGCACAA